rnacentral:misc_RNA from 1 species
GGUUUUCUUGAACACCUUGAAGAAAGGCCGGUUGAGGCUGUGACUGCUGCAGCAUCUGGGGUGGUAUCAAAGCAGCAGUUCUUGGGAGAUUAGGAUGUUGCUGGAAUUGCAAAAGGGAUGCAGUUGAUGACUUGGAAGGAUCAAAUAGCCCUCAUCUCCUGAAGUGCAGCAGCAGCCAUAGCUUGAUACAUAUCAGUUUGCAAACUAAGCAUGGAAGCAUCAACUCGUGGCUGCAUCCAUGGUGUUACUCCUAGUC